GACGAACGCUGGCGGCGUGCCUAAUACAUGCAAGUCGAACGAGAGCGACCGGUGCUUGCACUGGUCAAUCUAGUGGCGAACGGGUGAGUAACACGUGGGUAACCUGCCCAUCAGAGGGGGAUAACAUUCGGAAACGGAUGCUAAAACCGCAUAGGUCUUCGAACCGCAUGGUUUGAAGAGGAAAAGAGGCGCAAGCUUCUGCUGAUGGAUGGACCCGCGGUGCAUUAGCUAGUUGGUGAGGUAACGGCUCACCAAGGCCGUGAUGCAUAGCCGACCUGAGAGGGUGAUCGGCCACAUUGGGACUGAGACACGGCCCAAACUCCUACGGGAGGCAGCAGUAGGGAAUCUUCCGCAAUGGACGCAAGUCUGACGGAGCAACGCCGCGUGAGUGAAGAAGGUUUUCGGAUCGUAAAACUCUGUUGUUAGAGAAGAACAAGUGCUAGAGUAACUGUUAGCGCCUUGACGGUAUCUAACCAGAAAGCCACGGCUAACUACGUGCCAGCAGCCGCGGUAAUACGUAGGUGGCAAGCGUUGUCCGGAUUUAUUUGGGCGUAAAGCGAGCGCAGGCGGUUCCUUAAGUCUGAUGUGAAAGCCCCCGGCUCAACCGGGAGGGUCAUUGGAAACUGGGGAACUUGAGUGCAGAAGAGGAGAGUGGAAUUCCAUGCGUAGCGGUGAAAUGCGUAGAUAUAUGGAGGGACACCAGUGGCGAAGGCGACUCUCUGGUCUGUAACUGACGCUGAGGCUCGAAAGCGUGGGUAGCAAACAGG
rnacentral:rRNA from 1 species